rnacentral:rRNA from 1 species
GAAGCCCCCCCUCAAGAUGAGAUUUCCCAACUUCGGUUAUAAGAUCCCUCAAAGAUGAUGAGGUUAAUAGGUUCGAGGUGGAAGCAUGGUGACAUGUGGAGCUGACGAAUACUAAUCGAUCGAAGACUUAAUCAA